AAACCUAGCUGCUUGCUGCCCCGCCGCUAAGCUCAUCUGAUUGCUGCCCACCGCUCUCCUGAUGCUUAAAUAUGUCUGCCUGAAGGAGAACAAACCCAGAUCAUCAAACAGGGUACCAUAAAAAAACAAGCUAAGGGUUCCAAAUUUUUUACAGUAGCGGCUACAGAGAAACAAAGUAUGGUACUUAACAUAACGUUUAUCACUGCCCCUUUGUUUUUCAAAUGUUGUUGGUACACAGAGAUAGUUAUUUGUUUCUUGAAUAAGCUUGCUUCCACGCCCUUUCCUCUUCUUUCCUGCUGCAAUCUUUGGUUGCUACGAUGCCUUCACUCCAUUACAUUCUCUGGCUGAAGCUAUAUAUAACACUGCUUAUCAGAAACCAAAACAAUUAGCAACUUUGAUUGAUUAGGGAUACUCGAUUGGUAUUGACCACAAUUAUUUGAUGUCAUGUAAACUAAAGUAUUAGCUUUAUUAAAAUUUUACUAUUUGGAGUUUUA